GGAAAAUAUUACCCGUUUUAAGAAGUUCUCAAUAUAAUUAUACAAGAUUUUCUACACAACCGAGCAUUUUCUGGGAUUGUAUUUCGACGAAUCACCCCUCAUAGCUUAUUAGUGAAGUACAGUACUAAUGUAAGAUCAAAAAAGAAGAAAGAGCAAUUAGUUCUCUCUUCAGCAUUCGAAUCUAGCAAACAACAAAAACUGAAAAAUACACAAAAAGAAAGUCGCAUCAAAGCAAAGUGUGCUUAGUAGGUGUAGCCCUUGACAAACAUUCCCUUCUUGGCUUCCUCACUUUCACCUUCUGCGGAGUAUUUUCCGAGCUGAGCCAAGGAGUUUGCUUUUGCACGAAUCAAGAGUGCCCUCUGUGCAGCAUCCACAUUCUCAGGACGUCCUUGCCAUGUCUUGAGCACUGUGUUCUGGAGUGCUCUUGCAUAUGAGAAAGAUACAUGCCAUGGGUUGGGGCUCUGGUUCAUUUCGUGGAGGUUGAGUGUCGCUUCCACUUCAGAUUGUCCUCCGGACAGAAACAUGAUUCCAGGAACUGCAGGAGGAACUCUUCUCCUCAACAUGGUAAGUGUGUAUUUAGCAAUGGUUUCUGGGGUAGCCUUCUCUUUGUGUUCAGCACCAGGAGUAACCAUGCUAGGUUUGAGCAAAAUACCUUCAAAAACGACAUUGUUUUCUGCUAGGUAGUAGAAGACUUCUGCCCAAACACGUUCCGCAACUUCAAGGGUUCGUUCUAUUGGGUGGUCACCAUCCAAAAGAAUCUCAGGCUCUACUAUUGGCACUAAACCAUUGUCCUGAGAUAUAGCAGCAUAUCGAGCAAGACCCCAAGCUGCUUCUUUUACAGCCAAAGCAGAAGGACCGCAAGGAAUGCUAACAACUGUUCUCCACUUGGCAAAACGUGCCCCUUGCUUGUAGUAUUCAGCAGACCUAGAAGCCAAUCCAUCCAAUCCUUGGCACCAGGAUUCAUUGUUGGAUCCUGGUAGGGGAACCAAACCCUUGUCAACUUUGAUUCCAGGUACAAUCUUCUGAUCGCGCAAGACAUCAACAAACUUCUUCCCAUCGGUAGUGGACUGGAAAAGUGUCUCUUCGAAUAGAAUGGAUCCAGAGAUGUAAUCACCUAGGCCAGGAGUGGUCAACAAGAGUUGACGGUAAGCUUGUCUGUUUGCUUCUGUGUUGUCCAGACCAAUUGACGCCAGUCUCUUUCCGGCAGUUGCAUUCGAUUCAUCAAUGGCAAGGAUGCCCCUUCCAGGAGAAGCAAUAGUUUUAGCGGUUUUGAUGAGCUCAUCGGUGUAAGAUCCAGCAGCACGGAUGACUGAAACACGGCGAUUCGAAACAGGCAACCGGCAGGAAGAUCCAGACCGUUGAUUGAACGAUUGUUGACCGAUCCAUGAAGAUGACGAUGCGUUGAGCUUCACCAAACUAGAACUCGCCAUUUUUUUCUCCUGAAAAUCGCCUCUUUUUUCUCUCUC
rnacentral:misc_RNA from 1 species